CGCCGCAGGCAACCACCACCGGCUGCGGCGCCGGCGCCGGGGCCGGGGCCGACGACGAAGGAGCCUGGGACGGCGGCGCCGGGGACGGGUCGGGCUCCGCGUCCGUCUCCUCGCCCUCGCUCGCCGCGCCGCCGAGCCGCAGCCGCUCGCCGUACCGCCGGGACACCUUCACGUACAGCGGCUUGAUCUUGCUGCUCAGGUACCGCAGCACCACUUCCUUGGCGAACCGCCGCUCCUCCGCCGUGACCGACGCCGACGCCGACGCCUCCUCUUCCUCCUGCUGCUGGGCCUCCACCGCCGCCGCCGCCGCCGGAGCCCGCCGGUCCACGCCGGCGUCCGAAGUGCGCGAGCUGUUGUCGCGCGUGAAGAGCGACGCAAGCGGCGCGUCCUCCACGCGGAACUUCACCAGGAACCGGCUCGCCACGGCCGGCUGCCUCGGCGGCGCCUGCGCGGACCCGGCCCCGGCCCCAUCCGCCGGCGGGGCCUUGGGCUUCCUCAGCUUGAGCAGCAGGACGCGGAACCUGGUGGCCGGGCGGAGCAGCGGCGCCGGCGGCGGGGCUUCGGCGUCGGCCUCGGACUCGGCUUCCGCCUCCGCGGCCGGCGCGUCCACGGCCACGGCCACCGUGUCGGCGGCACCGGGCGCCACGGCGAAGUUGAACUCCACCCGCUCCUCCUCGGCGUCGGACGCGGCGCUCUCGUCGCCGGGCACCGCGAACUCCAGGUCGAAGAAGGAGGCGGCGUCGUCGUCGCCGUCGCCGUCGCCGUUCUCGCACGCCGACGCGGCGAUGGUCGUGGAGGCCGCGGGCGCGCGCUGGGCGCCGGCGGCCACGCCGCCGUGCAGGUACUUGAGGAGGCUGAAGGAGUCCAUGACGCACGCGGGGGCACGGAGCUUUGCUGGGAGCUAGCUCCUCUCACUUGUUCUCGCCAGCAGUCAAAUCUUGCUCCCUCGCUUCGCUCGCUCGGUUCCAAGGCCAACUACUCCCAGCGGUGGAAAAAAGACUCUUUUUUGAGAGAGCCUUUUGAGGAGGACUGGAGGAGCGGGAGCAGAGGACAGAGGAGUGAGGACCGGCUGCGGAUGGAGUAGACGAGGACAAGGUCCCAAGGUGGCGUUGCAGUUGCAGCCCAAUUUUUUGUAUUUUAGCCCUUAAACA
rnacentral:misc_RNA from 1 species